UGGACUCUGGGUCCAUCCCUCCCUAACCUCAUUUAAGGGCUGGCAGACAAAAGGGAACCAUUUCUACUUGAAGAGUGCCUUCUUCAGGAGUUUCUAGCAAACCUUGAUUCUCAGAAUCAGGUAACAAAUUCUGAAGAGGACAAGAUACAGGGCAAGCUGUCUCCAGGCCAUGCUACCAUUUAUGGAGGAGUCUU